UACGGAGGGUGCAAACGUUGCUCGGAAUCAUUGGGCGUAAAGCGCACGUAGGCGGCCCAGCAAGUCGGGUGUGAAAGCCCUCGGCUCAACCGAGGAAGUGCACUCGAAACUACUGGGCUUGAAUACUGGAGAGGAUCGCGGAAUUCCCGGUGUAGAGGUGAAAUUCGUAGAUAUCGGGAGGAAUACCAGUGGCGAAGGCGGCGACCUGGGCCAAUACUGACGCUGAGGUGCGAAAGCGUGGGGAGCAAACAGG
rnacentral:rRNA from 1 species